AUCGCUUCUCGGCCUUUUGGCUAAGAUCAAAGUGUAGUAUCUGUUCUUAUCAGCUUAAUAUCUGAUACGCCCUCCAUCGGGGGGCAUCGAUAUUAAACUACUGUUUGGAAGCAGGAGACUAUCUCGAGCUUGCUCAGACUUCUCCGCGGGUUGGCCCGGUAUUGCAGUACCGCCGGGAUUGGCCCACCCUGU
rfam:Helobdella robusta unplaced genomic scaffold HELROscaffold_66, whole genome shotgun sequence.